GAUGAACGCUGGCGGCGUGCCUAAUACAUGCAAGUCGAGCGAACAGACGAGGAGCUUGCUCCUCUGACGUUAGCGGCGGACGGGUGAGUAACACGUGGAUAACCUACCUAUAAGACUGGGAUAACUUCGGGAAACCGGAGCUAAUACCGGAUAAUAUAUUGAACCGCAUGGUUCAAUAGUGAAAGACGGUUUUGCUGUCACUUAUAGAUGGAUCCGCGCCGCAUUAGCUAGUUGGUAAGGUAACGGCUUACCAAGGCGACGAUGCGUAGCCGACCUGAGAGGGUGAUCGGCCACACUGGAACUGAGACACGGUCCAGACUCCUACGGGAGGCAGCAGUAGGGAAUCUUCCGCAAUGGGCGAAAGCCUGACGGAGCAACGCCGCGUGAGUGAUGAAGGUCUUCGGAUCGUAAAACUCUGUUAUUAGGAAAGAACAAAUGUGUAAGUAACUAUGCACGUCUUGACGGUACCUAAUCAGAAAGCAACGGCUAACUACGUG
rnacentral:rRNA from 1 species